AAUAGAAUUACGUUUUAUAGGUGUGUCUAGGCAACACAAGGGAAUGUGAAAGACUUUCAGAGGGAAUGUUUGUGAAUACAUCUGGUGUGUACUAAAAAGCUGGAAAACCCCUAAGUAAAUGCAAUAUCGAUAGAAAGCGAGUUUCUUGAAGAGUCAUCUGCUAAACUCCACUAGAGUCAUCUCUACAGAUGCAACUGACUCACUUAAAAUAGCUGUGUGGAUAUAGAACUUUUAUCAACUACUAUUUACUAAAUUAUAUUGGUGUGUUUGUCCUCAUCUUAGAAUAGCAUAUCAAUAGAUGCUAUAAAAACAUAAGAGGGUGUGGUUAAGAGAAAAAAAAAUUGCCAUUAAGGAAUCAGCAAAUAGGAUGUCUGAAGUGAGGAUAUAGCACCUAUCUCUGAGAUUAAAGUCAUCUGAUCAAAAAUGAUGCCUCUGAGACUAUAACAAAGGAAUGAAUAAUGAAAUAUAAGAAUGGGGAUUCUGCACUAACUCUAUGGGGAAGAAAACAAUGGUAAGAGCAAAAGGAUCAACAGCAGCAACUCCUGUUUCCAUCGAUUUGUUUAUAAGAUGCCGUCUACAUUAUUCCAAAAUAUCCCAGCCUUUUUCUCCCCUGUCAAGCUUCCCUGUCUCUAAAAGAGAUCUUGCUCUUCCUGCACAGAAAGAAAUAAUAAUAUAUCACUGAAAUAUUAUUAUUACAUUUAAAGUUACUUACACUCUUUCCCAUUCCUAUAAUUUCCUAGUUGGAAGCCCUCGCACUUGGGAAAUUAUUUAAUGUGAUUUUUUCUCCCUGACAUAUAAAUUGUCACAUCACCUUAAAUGUUGGGACUUCAGGUUGGGAAGUGGGUGGAUAAUAUUCUUGAGGAAGCUGCCUUCCUUUUAUAGAUAAUGUUACCUCCUUGUAAAGGUUGCUUUCUAUGUAU
rnacentral:lncRNA from 1 species